GACGAACGCUGGCGGCGUGCUUAACACAUGCAAGUCGAGCGGUAAGGCCCUUUCGGGGGUACACGAGCGGCGAACGGGUGAGUAACACGUGGGUGACCUGCCCUCAGCUCUGGGGAUAAGCCUGGGAAACCGGGUCUAAUACUGGACUAUGGACUCCAUGACGCAUGUUGUGGGGUGGAAAGCCUUGUGCGGCUGAGGAUGGGCCCGCGGCCUAUCAGCUUGUUGGUGGGGUGANGGCCUACCAAGGCGACGACGGGUAGCCGGCCUGAGAGGGCGACCGGCCACACUGGGGACUGAGACACGGGCCCAGACUCCUACGGGAGGCAGCAGUGGGGAAUCUUGCGCAAUGGGCGAAAGCCUGACGCAGCGACGCCGCGUGAGGGAUGACGGCCUGGUGUAAC
rnacentral:rRNA from 1 species